CAAAGUUCUCAUUUUUUGAGAGGGAUUCAGCAGCUUAUACAGAAAGAAUGGAUCAACAUGUUCAAUGAGCAUGAAUUCCAGCUUUCAAUAUCAGGUUCACUGGACAGCUUGGAUGUUGAUGACCUACGGACACAUACUACUUAUUCAAGUGGUUAUCAUAGGGAGCAUUAUGUCAUUGAGAUGUUUUGGGAAGUUAUCAAAAGUUUCUCAGUGGAAAACCAAAAGAAAUUUCUGAAAGACUGGCAGAUGGUUUAAGUAGCUUUAAAACAAGUAGAAUAAAUCUUAUUGAUUUACCUGGUUCCGGAGGCAGAAGCUAACAGGUGCAGCUGGGGAGCGCUUGAAGGAAGCACGCAAUAUCAACCGAUCACUCUCACAACUCGGAUCGGAAUGAUGUUGCUCAUCUGAAAGAAGGCAGCAUCAUGUGCUUGAAGACUUGUA